AAGAAGAAGAAGAAGGCCGCUUCGAUGACGUAGCUAGCUUGUCACAACAACAAUAGCUCGACGACUUUCUGACUUCGGCUUCGCUCAAACGACGUUCUCACGCCUGAGCGUUUUUUUACCGGCUGACUUUAGAAAGGGAAUUUGCCGGUGACUUUACUGAGUAUUUCAUUUGGGAAUACGCGCUGCCCCCCUUCCCCCCGAGCGUUUCUACUUCCAUCAUGUCUCACAACUACCUGUUCAGACCACCUGCGGGCGACUCCGAUCGCAGACCUGAUCGUGGACCGCGCGCUUCUCCAGACCGCCGGCACCCUUCUCCAGACCGCCGGCACCCUUCUCCAGACCGCCGGCAGGGUCCAUCGGGCCGCCGGAACGCCUCAUCGGGCCACCGACGCGGCUCUCCAGACCGCCAGACCGCCUCUCCAGACCACCGUUACUCCUCUGCGGACCGCCGCCAGACUUCAUCGGGACGCGACUUUUACAGGCCGCCUCUGGAGUCCUUGUCCGUGUCCCACCCGCCCACAUCCUUUUCCUCCAGAGGGGCUCAGUUGGCUCAGGAUGGCGCUCUCGGCAUCCUGAACAGCUGCGGCCUAGAGCCCGCCGACCUGGCGCUGCUGGCCGAGCUUCCUGAAGACGUCCUCACCGUUGAGUCCCUGCCCCAAGUCCUCCAGCAGAUCAAGGGAAAGCGGGGGACCGUCAAAUCGCAUCCUUCUGGUAGUCGUCCUCCUUCUUACUCCUCGUCUUCCUCUUACACACCCAGCUCCUCCCGUCGAUCCAGCGCCAACCCUGCAGCUGGCGAGUGGGAUCAUCCCCGCAGCCAGCCCGCCCAUUUCCCUCCUAAAGAGGUAACACAAAGAGGUCCUCUUUCACCUGAGCUGGACCGCUGGGGGAAUCCCAAUCCUGGCAGCUCAGUGAGAAAACAACCACCGUCACUAUUGUCACUUGUGGUGGACUACAACUACAGACCAGGACCUUCUGAUAAUGGUAAAACCGCCAGGAACGCCAGUCCAGUAUUCUCUCAGGACUACAACCACAGGCCGGGACACUCUGAUCUUAGCCAUUCUGGUCCAGUUUCAUCUCAGGACUACAAUCGAGACUUAAGUCCAGUAUCCUCACAAGACUACAUCCAGAGACCACAACCUUCUGUCUAUGGCAAGACUGGGAGAGACGCCGGUCCCGUAUCCUCUCAAGACUACAACCACGGACCAAGACCUUCUGAUUAUGUCAAGGCGGGAAGCGACGCCGGUCCAGUGUCCUCCCGAGACUACAACCACAGACCAGGAUCUUCUGACUAUGGCGAAACGGGCAGAGAUGCCAGUCUAGUGUCCUCUGUAGACUACAACCAGAGACCAGGCCUGUCUGAUUAUGGCAAGAUGGGCAGAGAUGCUAGUCCAGUGGCCUCUCUAGACUACAACCACAGACCUGUACUGUGCGAUUAUGGCAAAACGGGCAGAGAUGCCAGUUCAGUGUCGUCUUUAGACUAUAAUCAGAGACCAGGAAUUUCUGAUUAUGGCAAAACUGGCAGAGAUGGCGGUCCAGUGUCCUCUCUGGACUACAACUACAGACCAGGACUUUCUGAUUAUGGCAAGCGGUGCAGAGAUGCUGAUCCAGUGGUCUCUCUGGACUACAACAAAGCACCAGGACUUUCUGGUUAUGGUAAGACAGGCAGAGACACCGUUCCAGCGUUCUCACAGGACCAACCCCCUUUCAGCUCUGCAGGCGGAACCAAAAGAACUCGUCGCUCGCGGUUCUCUCAGCUUGAAGCAGUUGAUCACAUGGCAGUGCCUCCUCCUGAGGAGCACUAUCCAACCACUCUUGGGCAGCGCGGCGAGCCAGAGAUCUCUUCCAUUAGAAGCAGCAACUGCAGCCGGCUCGCCAUUGCAGCCGGCGCAGCCACUGCCGGCUUGUUGCCCUCCAAGAAAGAAGCUCUGGACUUCCACGGGACGUCUCCACCAGGGUUCCCGUACUCAUGCUCUCUGUGUGAUAUCACUGUGAUGUCAGAGAAGGUGUGGAUUAAACACAUAAACGGGCCUCACCAUGCAGACGGACAGCUCAACCUGCUGCAGAAGUUUCCUAACUGGGACUGUCGCAUGGAAACAAUCAGCAGGCCCGACGACCCAUUGGAGGAGAAGAAAGAUGAAGGAAAAGCCCCCCAGCAGCCCCAGCAGCCCCAGCAGCCCCAAACAGCCAAUCAGAGCGCCUCCAUCCUGCCGCCGAAUAAAAAGAAGGCGUCGGGGAAAGGCAAAGUGGUUUGUGUGAGGUUCCCGCCUCAGUCCGUGGACGAGGCGUACCUCAGGAAGCUCACCGAACCCUUCGGAAAGAUCGUCACGGUCCUCAUGUUUCCGUCUCUAGCGUUCGUGGAGCUGGGCACCGUCGACCAGGCCAAAGACAUGGUGAAGUUCUACGCCGGCUGUCCUCUAGCGGUGAACGGAGAGAACUUGGAGUUCAGGAUCUCCACCACCUUCAACUUCCUCCAGAGUUCUCGAGUAGUGAGUUUCUCUCCGGCUCCGGUGGGAGAGAAAAGCCUUUCGGAUCUGAUCACCAUCAUCACGAACUUCGGCUCGCCGCUCUACACCCUGUUCCUGCCAUCUAAGGUCUUUGUAGAGAUGAAAAAUACUCCGGAUGCUCAGAAGAUGGUGGAUUUCUAUUCCUCAAAAGCUCUGAUGGUCAACAAUGAGUCCAUCAAAGUGUCUUUCUCUGUAGAAUACAAGAGCCUCAUGCGGGUCCCCUCGGCCAAGAGGUACGACGAGGAAACGUCCUCGUCCAAAAGGACACGGAGUUCCAGUCGAGAGAAUGAAGACACGAAGACCGAGACCAAGAGGAGGAGGAGGAGGAGGAGGAGCAGCAGUGAGGACGGAAAGACGGGAAAGAAGGAGGAGGGAGAGAAAUCCAGCAGGGAAGAGAGAACCAGAUCCAGAGAAAAGUCUGGGGACAAGUCCAUCCAGCAGAUGUCCAGAAAAGACGGGAGGUCCAAAUCCAGAGAUACGAGAGAAAAGUCCAGCAAAGAGAAGUCCCGGUCUAAGUCCAGGUCUAAAGAUAAAUCCAGCAGAGGCGAGACAACCAGAACCAGGUCAAAAUCAGGGGAAAAGUCCACUAAAGAGAAAAGCCCCAGGACCAAGUCUGGCUCAGGAGACAAAUCAAUGGAGAAGUCCAGCAGAGCGGGGCGGUCCAGGUCCAGGGACAAACACAGCAAAGACAAGGACACCAGAACCAAGUCUAAUUCCAGAGAAAGGUCCAGCAGAGAGACGAGGUUCAGGUCCAGAGAAGAAUCCAGCAGCAAGUCCUCUGGCCAGAGCCGGUCCACUGGAGAGUCUGAGGUGGCAGAGAAAACGACUGACUGUGAGUCCAGGACCGAUCCUGAUCCAGAUGCUGUCGAGGACUCCAAACCCGAAGCGGAAGACAAAGAAGCCACUGAGGAGGAAGACGACGGGUCGUCUGCCGAGGAGAGCGACAUCGAGGGGAUGGAGGUGAUUGGAGAGGACGGAGAGAGUCUGGAGGAUGAAGAUGAAGAGGAAGAUGACUGUCCUGCAGAGAGAACAGACUUGGCUAAAGAGGACAAUGAGAAGAAGAUGACAAAGGAGACAGCCGUUCAGGAGAAAGUCGUGAAGAUAAAGAAGGAAGCGGCCGAUGAUCAGGAGGAAAUAAUGGCAAUAAAGAUGGAGGAGGCCGAUCAGCAGCAAGUGGUGCAGAUAAUGAAGGAGACAGAAGAAAAGCGGGAAUCUACCAAAAUUAAGGAGGAGGAGCAGCAGGAGUGCGAGGAGGAAGAAUCAGAUUUCCCCAUAGACCUGGAGAACUGCAUCACUCUGGAUGAAUUGGGAGAAGACUCGUCUGAUGAACAAGAUGAAGUCCCGGAUGAAUCCAACCCUUCCUCCUCCCGAGUGGUUUACUUCAACAACCUUCCGGCGUGUCCUUUCGAUGACGCUGACUUCGUCAAGCUGGUGAAAGACUUUGGGACGGCGGUGAAAUUCUACCGAGUCCGCGGACGCAGGACGGGUUUCAUUGAGAUGUCAACUUCUUCUGAGGCUCUCAGAGUCGUUAAAGAGAUGAGCUCCAAAUCGCUCACCGUCUACGGCUUCAGAGUCUACGCACACAUCUCCGACAGAUACAAGCGCCUCACCAACGGGUUGUCUCCUCAGCGGAACGGGGACAGGGAGAAGGACAGCAGCAGCAGGAGGAGGAAGACUGAGAAACUCGACGUUGGCCGAUCCAAGGAGAGGAAGUCUGAGGGGGGAGAGGAGUCCUUGAAGAAGACUCCAGUGAAAGAGUCAACGUAUAAACAGACUCAAAAAGACUCGUCUAAAAAGACUCCAGAGAAAGACUCGUCUAAAAAGACUCCAGAGGAAGACUCGACUUGUAGAAAGACUCCAGAGGAAGAGUCGACUUGUAGAAAGACUCCAGAGGAAGAGUCGACUUGUAGAAAGACUGCAGAGGAAGAGUCGACUUGUAGAAAGACUGCAGAGGAAGAGUCGACUUGUAGAAAGACUCCAGAGGAAGAGUUGACUUGUAGAAAGACUGCAGAGGAAGAGUCGACUUGUAGAAAGACUGCAGAGGAAGAGUCGACUUGUAGAAAGACUGCAGAGGAAGAGUCGACUUGUAGAAAGACUGCAGAGGAAGAGUCGACUUGUAGAAAGACUGCAGAGGAAGAGUCGACUUGUAGAAAGACUGCAGAGGAAGAGUCGACUUGUAGAAAGACUGCAGAGGAAGAGUCGACUUGUAGAAAGACUGCAGAGGAAGAGUCGACUUGUAGAAAGACUGCAGAGGAAGAGUCGACUUGUAGAAAGACUGCAGAGGAAGAGUCGACUUGUAAAAUUAUUGCAGAGGAAGACUUGUCUAAAGAGACAUCACAGAAAGCGGCUGUCAAUAAAAAUACUUCAGGAAGGGAUUUAAAACUGACUGAUGAGAAGAAGAACAAAGAGUCUGCUGCUAAAAUGGUUUUGGCAAAAGAGUCCCUCUCUAAAACUAGUCCAGAAAACAAAACGUUAAAAAGAAAAAGGACUGGCGAGAACGACUCUGUGCCCGAAAAGAAAGAAAAGAAGAACGAGUCGACGAAUGAUGAGAAAAAAACGUUAUUGAUCCACAAGAAUGAAGGAUCAACUGAGCGGACUCCAGCGACGGACAAUUCCUCUGAAGCUCAGGGGGAGGAAUCUGAACUGGGACUGACGAGGAGUCCAGAUCGAUCCGACUCAGAUCCUCCCGAGCCUCAGACCGAUCAGGAACCUGCUGUUGACGGGCUGCAGGACUCUGAGGCUGCACUCCAAGAGCAGCAACAAUCUAGAUCUUUUGGGGGCGCUGCUGAACGGCAGGAACCCACCGGUCCUGUUGGGGGCGACGUCUCUGAUCCCAUAGUGGUCUGUGAGAAAAAAGAGGGAUCUUUGAGUCCAGGUCGUCCGACUCAGAAGCUAAUACAAUACUCCGUUUUGGGGGGGAAAUUCCUACACCCCAGGGAACAGAGUUUGUCCGUCCGGUGGUCGGAUACUUCUGUAAUUUGUGUCAGCUGAUCUACGCUGAUGAGGACGAAGCCAAGCUGCAGCACUGCAGCACCCUGACGCACUACAGGAAGUACCAGGAAAAGACAGGGAAAGAUCCGUGGGCGAGCUGAAUGUUUGAAUAACACACAUGUUGUGAUGUAAUAUUCUGACUUAUUCAUCCAAUUGUAAGAAAUGAAUGAACAAUUUCUGAACCAGUUGGAACCUUUUUUGAAUUUACCCAGAAAUCUGAAUCCGGAAUGCCAAAAAAAUUAAAACUUCUGUAUAUAGUUUUUCCUCAAAUACAAAAAAGGCUUUGUUUAUUAUUCAUUUUAUGUUAAUAUUGUAACAAUCACAGCCCCAACAGACUUAAAAGACACCAUUGUUUUAAAAAAAGUGGGACCUGAGUUUUCAGAUAAAAUAUUUUCAAAUAUUCAUUAUUUUAACCAUCUGGCAUUUUUUAAAGUCCAGAAACAAAUAAGAAACCUAACAGAAUUAAUAUUAAAUAGCUAUUUUAUUUUGUCAAUUCACGCAACCUGUUGUGGAUGUUUUAUAAUCUGAUAACACCAAAGUUUAGACAAGUGUUGCUGUAAAAAUACAUACUUUUGACUUGAUCAUUUUGCUUGAACAUGACAUUUUUGGUCAUAAACUAGUCUGGGACAUAAAAAUAGGUUCAUGCGCUUUCAUUUUACAGAUACAUUUGGAACAAAUAUUUGUUCACUGAUAUUCCAGUGAUACAGUCCCGAAGUCAUGUCUGUUCUAAUCAGCUGAAAUAAAAUAACACAUUAAAGCUGCUAGUUUUAUCUGCUAAUAGAAAUGUGUUAAUAUUACUAAUAUUCUUAAGUUUUUUAUUUUGAAUGCUUGUAAAAAUUCAAUUUCAGAAAUCCUUUUUUUAUUCAGGUAUCGCUCCGUGUGUCACCAUGACAGACUGUUAUGAUUUUUUUUCAUCUUGAAAUACUAACUUUAAUAACUUCAAUUUAUAAUUUUUUCUAUGACAUUUUUUCCACGUACUAUGACUUUCUAUUGCCUUAUUUGGACUUUCUUUACUUGUAUUAUGAUUUAUUUAUUUUCUACUUAAAAUACUAUGACUUUAAUGUUUUACAAUUUACAAUGCUAUUUUCUUCGAAGCACACUAUACUGGCACUUUCUUUUCUGAGGGAUAUUAUAAUUUUUUUUUUCCCCCCCUCAAAUCCAUUGUUACAACCAGGCUCUGUCUGCAAUGCGAAAGGGAGACCAGACUAGUGUAAUAAUAAAUACCAAUUUGUAUAAAAGCAAAAAACUAAA